rnacentral:misc_RNA from 1 species
AGUCGUAACAAGGUUUCCGUAGGUGAACCUGCGGAAGGAUCAUUAAGAGAGGUUCAUUCGGGUCAUUUGGCCCCAGUGGACCCCCUGACCCUCCAAAACCCCCCUUCCUUGGUUUUGGUUUUAUAAACUACCUUGUUUGCUUUUGGCGGGGACCGUCUCGGUCUCCGAGCGCACUAACCCUCGGGUUGGUGAGCGCCCGCCAGAGUCCAACCAAACUCUUGUAUUAAACCAGUCGUCUGAGUAUAAAAUUUUAAUUAAAUUAAAA